GACGAACGCUGGCGGCGUGCUUAACACAUGCAAGUCGAACGGUGAAGCGCCUUCCUUUUUGGUUUGUGUGGAUGAGUGGCUAACUGGUGAGUAACACGUUAGUAACCUUCCCCCUUCUUCUUGAUAACCUCAUGAAAGUGUGGCUAAUACGGGAUAUUCUGGUUCUGUCGCAUGAUGGGUCUGGUAAAGAUAUUGUUUCUGUUGGGGAUGUGCUCGCGGCCUAUCAGCUUGUUGGUGGAGUGAUGGCCUACCAAGGCGGUGACGGGUAGCCGGCCUGAGAGGGUGGACGGUAAGACGGGGACUGAGAGAAGGACAAGAGUGCUACGGGAGGCAGCAGUGGAGAAUAUUGAACAAUGGGCGAAAGCAUGAAGCAGCGACGCGGCGUGAGGGAUGGAGGCCUUCGGGUUGUGAACCUCUUUCGCGAGUGAAGAAGGCGUGAAUAGUUUGUGGGUGGGUUGACGGUAGCUGGAUAAGAAGCGACGGCUAACUACGUG
rnacentral:rRNA from 1 species